rnacentral:rRNA from 1 species
AAGUCGAACGAAGUAGCAAUACUUAGUGGCGAACGGGUGAGUAUAAUGUGGGUAUCUGCCUUUUGGUUUGGAAUAACACGGGGAAACUUGUGCUAAUACCGGAUAAGCCUUUACAGGGAAAGUUUUAACGCCGAAAGAUGAGCCCAUACUUGACUAGCUAGUUGGUAAGGUAAUGGCUUACCAAGGCUACGAUCAAUAGCUGAUCUGAGAGGAUGAUCAGCCACAUUGGGACUGAGACACGGCCCAAACUCCUACGGGAGGCAGCAGUGGGGAAUCUUGCACAAUGGGGGAAACCCUGAUGCAGCGAUGCCGCGUGAGUGAAGAAGGCCCUUGGGUUGUAAAGCUCUUUCGUCGGGGAAGAAAAUGACUGUACCCGAAUAAGAAGGUCCGGCUAACUUCGUGCCAGCAGCCGCGGUAAUACGAAGGGACCUAGCGUAGUUCGGAAUUACUGGGCUUAAAGAGCACGUAGGUGGUUAAGAAAGUUGGUGGUGAAAUCCCAAGGCUUAACCUUGGAACUGCCACCAAAACUUUUUAACUAGAGUAUGAUAGAGGUAAGCGGAAUUUCUAGUGUAGAGGUGAAAUUCGUAGAUAUUAGAAAGAACACCAAUUGCGAAGGCAGCUUUCUGGAUCAUUACUGACACUGAGGUGCGAAAGCAUGGGUAGCGAAGAGGAUUAGAUACCCUCGUAGUCCAUGCUGUAAACGAUGUGUGCUAGACGUUGGAAAUUUAAUUUUCAGUGUCGCAGCAAAAGCGUUAAGCACACCGCCUGGGGAGUACGACCGCAAGGUUAAAACUCAAAUGAAUUGACGGGGACCCGCACAAGCAGUGGAGCAUGUGGUUUAAUUCGAAGAUACGCGCAGAACCUUACCAACACUUGACAUGUUCGUCGCGACUCUAA